GGAGGAAAGCCCAGCGGGGGAGACGAAGGUUCAGCAGGCCGAGGCGGUGCGCUUUGCCGGCGCUUCCAUUAGAGCUGCACUGCGGUCACUGGACGUCAAUGAAAAGCGAUUCAACCUGCAAAAUGAAAAAAAAAAUGCCUCCUGAUGAGAAAACGUGUUUCCAAAAAGACGCUGAGCCCAACGCACCUUGGAGAGUCCCUCGGAAGCUCCGGUCGACGCUGCAAGCACCAACCUACGUCAAUAAUGAUGACCCAGCAUUAAGAACUGGACCAGAGGGUAAAUGACAUGGAUGGUAUUUGAAUAAGUGAGUCAAAGCCUUUUGUAAAUCUGUAGAUAACUGAAAGCUGUGAUUGGCUUAAAUAGCCUAUGAAUAUGUCCUAGGAGGAUGCUUUCACUCAGCCGUUUCUUCAGGAAAAACACAAUCAUCGCUGUUGUCCUGAAAACCAAAACACAUCACAGCGAGGUUUGUGUUACUGCGCCCAAUAACUACUUUCUUCCAGGUUUGAAACAAAUCAGUGACAAAGAUAGCACGAGCAUUGAAAGUUCUUAUGCUGACGCCUGCCUGAGGCUAAACUGCACUCGCAGUCCAGGUCUGAACGUCAAGGGGCCACGUUUGGACACCGGAGACUGAGCCGUUGAUGUUUCUCUUUCUUUUGGUUCUCUGUUGAGCGAUCUAUCUUCAGAAUGUACACAGUGUGGAUCCAGCUUGCGCUGUCUGGUCUGGUUUUAGAGCUGGCUAAUAGAAACAAAUGUGAGUGCAUUGGUGCACGUGUUGCAUGCUGAACAGACACUGUCCUCUCCCUGCAUGCUAAAACGCAUCCUCGUAGAAGUCUGUGUGGUUCCAAUGGCCUGCCAAGGAAUCUCUAUGCAUUGGGCCUCGCAUCAGUUCCCAGAGAGGGAUUCUGAUUAUUUUUCCAUCUAGAAGGGUGUUAAAUCUAGACUCCUGAGAAGAAUAAAAAUGAGACUGACGCUACAUUUCCUCUUUGCUUCACUGUCAGGUUUUAGUUGGGUCGCUACAACCUAUUGUCAGAGGUAACAACUGAAGUGCCGUAAUGAAAGAAAGGCUCUUAUUUAAAAUGCCAUUCUUAUCGCGUUCCUUCACGCUUAAUCUCUACGAUACCAUGCGCCGAAUCUCUGGAC
ensembl:lncRNA